rnacentral:rRNA from 1 species
CGGGGCUGGAUCCUUCGGGGUUACAGCCUUGCUGAAUUAUUCACCCGUGUCUUUUGCGUACUUCUUGUUUCCUUGGUGGGUUCGCCCACCAUAGGACAAACCAUAAACCUUUUGUAAUUGCAAUCAGCGUCAGUAAAAAAAAUUAAUAAUUACAACUUUUAACAACGGAUCUCUUGGUUCUGGCAUCGAUGAAGAACGCAGCGAAAUGCGAUAAGUAGUGUGAAUUGCAGAAUUCAGUGAAUCAUCGAAUCUUUGAACGCACAUUGCGCCCUUUGGUAUUCCAAAGGGCAUGCCUGUUCGAGCGUCAUUUGUACCCUCAAGCUUUGCUUGGUGUUGGGCGUCUUGUCUCCAGUUCGCUGGAGACUCGCCUUAAAGUAAUUGGCAGCCGGCCUACUGGUUUCGGAGCGCAGCACAAGUCGCGCUCUCUUCCAGCCAAGGUCAGCAUCCACAAAGCCUUUUUUCAACUUUUGACCUCGGAUCAGGUAGGGAUACCCGCUGAACUUAAGCAUAUCAAUAAGCGGAGGAAA